GACGAACGCUGGCGGCAGGCCUAAUACAUGCAAGUCGAACGGGCGUAGCAAUACGUCAGUGGCGGACGGGUGAGUAACACGUGGGAACAUGCCUUUCGGUUCGGAAUAACGCAGGGAAACUUGCGCUAAUACCGGAUGACCCGGCGACGGAAAAGAUUUAUCGCCGAAAGAUUGGCCCGCGUAGGAUUAGCUAGUUGGUGAGGUAACGGCCCACCAAGGCGACGAUCCUUAGCUGGUUUGAGAGAACGAUCAGCCACACUGGGACUGAGACACGGCCCAGACUCCUACGGGAGGCAGCAGUAGGGAAUCUUGGACAAUGGGGGAAACCCUGAUCCAGCCAUGCCGCGUGAGUGAUGAAGGCCUUAGGGUUGUAAAGCUCUUUUACCCGGGAAGAUAAUGACGAUACCGGGAGAAUAAGCCCCGGCUAACUUCGUGCCAG
rnacentral:rRNA from 1 species